rnacentral:piRNA from 1 species
UGCUAAGUGCCCUGAGACAAGAGU